UACAGAGGUCUCGAGCGUUGUUCGGAUUCAUUGGGCGUAAAGGUGCGUAGGUGGCUAGGUAAGUCGGAUGUGAAAUCCCGGGGCUCAACCCCGGAACUGCAUUCGAUACUGCCUGGCUAGAGUACUGGAGAGGAGAUUGGAAUUUACGGUGUAGCAGUGAAAUGCGUAGAUAUCGUAAGGAAGACCAGUGGCGAAGGCGGAUCUCUGGACAGUUACUGACACUGAGGCACGAAGGCCAGGGGAGCAAACGGG
rnacentral:rRNA from 1 species